AUGUGCUGUCAUAAGAUAUCAUGCAAGUUUCUUGUCCUACAUAUCAAUAAUAAGCACUUCCAUGGAAUAAUUCUCAGUUCUGUUUUGAAUUUCACAUCUUCUCACGAACAGUGUGCUGGUUCCUUUCUGUUACUUUACAUGCCUGCCGUGUCAGGUUAUGACAUAACGACCGAUGGAGGAUUGGAGGGUGGUCGGCUGGUUUUAGACGGGGAAUUGAAACAUUUUUCUGGAAGAAAUCUGAAUACAGUUGGGAGGGGAAAUGGAAGCAUAUAUUUAUCGAGCCCGCUAUCCAGGCUAAUUUAUCAAGCACUAGACAGUGUAGGGUGUUGGCAUUCUUCUCUUCCUUGA
rnacentral:rRNA from 1 species